UAUGGCCGGAGCAGGGGUUCGUGCAGCAAAUCUGCAGCGUUUCCUUGAUGCCGGGGUACGGGAAGUACACAGCUCAGCCGGAACGACACAGCCCUCGCCGAUGCGUUAUCGCAACCCAGGGUUGUCAAUGUCAGCCGAUAAGCAGGCGGACGAAUACUCCCGCUAUGUGGUUGACGGCGCCGCGGUUGCUGAAAUGAAAGGAAUCAUUGCUCGCCAUCAGGCCAAAUGAUUUUUACCGUUGCAUCAUGUCGCCCAAUAUGAUGCUUGCUCGUACCAGGCCCCUGCCAUUAACAGGGGCCUUUUUU
rnacentral:ncRNA from 1 species